GGCGAACGGGUGAGUAACACGUGGGUGAAUCUGCCUUGCACUCUGGGAUAAGCUUGGGAAACUGGGUCUAAUACCGGAUAGGAACCGUCUUUAGUGUGGUGGUUGGAAAGUUUUUCGGUGCAAGAUGAGCUCGCGGCCUAUCAGCUUGUUGGUGGGGUAAUGGCCUACCAAGGCGUCGACGGGUAGCCGGCCUGAGAGGGUGUACGGCCACAUUGGGACUGAGAUACGGCCCAG
rnacentral:rRNA from 1 species